UAAGGUUAUCUUCCUUUUUCUCUCAAGAGCGGUUCCUGAUGGGGAUUUCUCCCGUAACCGCCAGCGUGCAGGAGACGGGAGGCGGCGCGGCCAUGGCGCCGGCGGGCGCGGCGCACGGCCAUGGUGUGGGGCGCGUCGCAGAGCAGGCGGACGGGUGCGGGGCGCGUCGGGCUGGCACGACCAGGGGCCACGACUCUCCUUGGACCGAGGAUCCACGGACGUCGGUGGAGGGCGGGUCAACGCGACCACGUAGCCGCAGUCGUGGGCUCUGCCACGCCGCGAUGAUGCAGGCUGCGGCCGCACAAUCAUCUUCAUACCUCCGCGGUCCAACGAUAGGACAGAUACGCACGACGACGAAUGUCCUUGUGGAGAAGAAGUAAGGCGUCGUACAUAUUCUUCUCCGUCAGUUUCUCUGUGAUUUGCUUCGUGGCUUCCUGUUCGUGGUAAAGCAAAUAUUCUGUAGUCAUGAACAGAAUUAGGAAACUAGCACCUUGUUUGUUCGUAGCUAUUAGAUGAAGACACUGAUAUUUGUGGGGUGCUUCACGCCGAUUCAGUUCUUCUUCCACUUUUGAUUUUCCUCUCAUGGAGUUCACUGGAGUUGAAAAUCGCUGGAGUUGCCGCCGCUCUCCGCCGAGGGCACUGCAAUUCGUGUGGGCUCCUCCGACGUCUGGUACAGUAGUGACGCCGACCACCGCUAGGCAGCGGGCACCGCGCGUGGGAGGUGCCUGCCGGAUUUUACCAUCGGCAAUGAAUUUUGUGCGCGUGGGAGGUGCCUGCCGGAUCUUAAAAUCGCUAGACGCGAUGAGGUUUAACUCGUACCCUACUAAACUAUGGAGAUAUCCGUCAAAAUAGUUUUCAUAGCGAAACUUAUGAUGACAACAAAGAGAAAUAACUUCUCUUUACCAUAUGCAACGGAUAUGGCAAGCACAUUCUCUGUGUAUCAUCUGGAUUGUACUACACAUAUGACACAACCGUAGCACAUGUUGCAUACGAGAUAGUUUUCCAGAGUGUCUUGUAGAUGACAAACUUGACAUACU